rnacentral:rRNA from 1 species
UACGAAGGGGGCUAGCGUUGCUCGGAAUCACUGGGCGUAAAGGGCGCGUAGGCGGCUUGGUCAGUCAGGCGUGAAAUUCCUGGGCUUAACCUGGGGACUGCGCUUGAUACGGCCGGGCUUGAGGCCGAGAGAGGGUGGUGGAAUUCCCAGUGUAGAGGUGAAAUUCGUAGAUUUUGGGAAGAACACCGGUGGCGACGGCGGCCACCUGGCUCGGUUCUGACGCUGAGGCGCGACAGCGUCGGGAGCAAACAGG